AUACUUACCGGGCAGGGGAGAUACCAUGAUCAGCAAGGUGGUUUUCCCAGCGUGAGGCUCAUCCAUUGCACUGCGGGUGUGCUGACCUCUGUGAUUUCCCCAAAUGUGGGAAACUCAACUGCAGAAUUGUGGUAGUGGGGGACUGCGUUCGCGCUUUCCCCUG
rnacentral:snRNA from 1 species